rnacentral:rRNA from 1 species
AUUGAACUCUGGCGGCAGGCCUAACACAUGCAAGUCGAGCGGAUGAAGGGAGCUUGCUCCUGGAUUCAGCGGCGGACGGGUGAGUAAUGCCUAUGAAUCUGCCUGGUAGUGGGGGAUAACGUCCGGAAACGGGCGCUAAUACCGCAUACGUCCUGAGGGAGAAAGUGGGGGAUCUUCGGACCUCUCGCUAUCAGAUGAGCCUAGGUCGGAUUAGCUAGUUGGUGGGGUAAAGGCCUACCAAGGCGACGAUGCGUAACUGGUCUGAGAGGAUGAUCAGUCACACUGGAACUGAGACACGGUCCAGACUCCUACGGGAGGCAGCAGUGGGGAAUAUUGGACAAUGGGCGAAAGCCUGAUCCAGCCAUGCCGCGUGUGUGAAGAAGGUCUUCGGAUGGUAAAGCACUUUAAGUUGGGAGGAAGGGCAGUAAGUUAAUACCUUGCUGUUUUGACGUUACCAACAGAAUAAGCACCGGCUAACUUCGUG